rnacentral:rRNA from 1 species
UGGGGAAUAUUGCGCAAUGGGGGAAACCCUGACGCAGCGACGCCGCGUGCGGGAUGAAGGCCUUCGGGUUGUAAACCGCUUUUGAUUGGGAGCAAGCCUUUUGGGUGAGUGUACCUUUCGAAUAAGCCCCGGCUAACUACGUGCCAGCAGCCGCGGUAAUACGUAGGGGGCGAGCGUUGUCCGGAAUUACUGGGCGUAAAGGGUUCGCAGGCGGCAUGGCAAGUCCGAUGUAAAAGGCGAAGGCUCAACCUUCGUAAGCAUCGGAAACUGUCAAGCUUGAGUGAAGGAGAGGCAAGUGGAAUUCCUAGUGUAGCGGUGGAAUGCGUAGAUAUUAGGAGGAAUACCGGUGGCGAAGGCGACUUGCUGGACUUCAACUGACGCUGAGGAACGAAAGCGUGGGUAGCAAACAGG